rnacentral:rRNA from 1 species
AGUGAACGCUGGCGGUAGGCCUAACACAUGCAAGUCGAACGCCCCCCCCGUAAGCGCUUGCUCUUACGGGUGGCGAGUGGCGGACGGGUGAGGAAUACAUCGGAAUCUACUUUUUCGUGGGGGAUAACGUAGGGAAACUUACGCUAAUACCGCAUACGACCUACGGGUGAAAGCAGGGGAUCUUCGGACCUUGCGCGAUUGAAUGAGCCGAUGUCGGAUUAGCUAGUUGGCGGGGUAAAGGCCCACCAAGGCGACGAUCCGUAGCUGGUCUGAGAGGAUGAUCAGCCACACUGGAACUGAGACACGGUCCAGACUCCUACGGGAGGCAGCAGUGGGGAAUAUUGGACAAUGGGCGCAAGCCUGAUCCAGCCAUACCGCGUGGGUGAAGAAGGCCUUCGGGUUGUAAAGCCCUUUUGUUGGGAAAGAAAAGCAGCAGGUUAAUACCCCGCUGUUCUGACGGUACCCAAAGAAUAAGCACCGGCUAACUUCGUG